AAGUUCCAAAAUGUCAAGCUGCAUGAGCAGGGUGUAGCCUUACAAGUACGUGGUAAUACUGUAAGCAUCAUUUUUCACUUUCCAUAAUGAAAAGGUGGUUGAAUUCAUAUCUCUCCAUGCUUAAAAAUAACAGCUAUAAACUGAAAUCAAGAAGGGGAAAUUUCAGCCCAGCUAAUGAAAAUCAGCAUUUUCAGCCUUGUUUAAUUCUGCUGCUUUCCUGAAACCACUGGAAACUCUGCUGCAGCUGAUGAAAAGAUUGAGACUGAGAGAAAAGAAGCAAUUUAUUCAAGGUCACCUGGAGAGCUAAUGAUACAGCUGGAAGGAAACCCAAUGAAUUCAGAGGUCUGGGCCAGUUCUCUAGUCAAGUGUGGUACUGCCUGCUUUGCUUCCAGCUGUUCCUAGUUUCCUGAAGAAAACAGACUCACCCACUAUAGUUUCCAACCAGAAUGUGGCUUCCAGCUUCAGGACUCCAUGAUGUAGUGUGUCCUGUUUUUAAUUUAGGAGAUCUUAGUCUGCUUUAUCUUCUAAAAUACAAAUAUU